CUGGGCUGUCUCUCCGAGCCGUCUAUCUACAAACCUUAGGGUUUGCUUCUUCAUAGGACACUCGCCGCACGAUGUGGCCCAAGGGUGCUGUGAGCUUUACUAUGAUAGCCUAGCUGGAGCAGCGAGCGUUACGCUCUCUCCCAUCCUCACAUACUUCGUUGUGGCCAGGCAUUGGUUCUCUCUUGGACAGCUAGCUGCUAGAUUCGGCCGAGCGGCGGGACAGGUUCCAUGGCGAGGAUUUGCGAUCGAAAAGGUGAGUAGUUUUCAUCUAGGACUAAGAUAAAUCGAGUUACCUUCUCCCUCUCUUUAAUUUCUCGGUACUAUUUGUUUGUCACCUCAGAUCCUUUGAGUUGUUAUUUAGCCACCUCGUGCUUGUUCCAUAGAGCCGAGAGUCAAUUGGAGCAAGUGGUGAUCGAAAGGUAUCCUUGCUUCAAUUCCGACAAGGCUUGGGUGAGCGAGAAGAUCUUGGCUCAAUCAAGUUUCCUGUCCAUCUCGUGGAUGUUGUUCCACAUGAUUUUGAGUCUUUGGUUGGUGAGAGUUUGGCCGUGACCUCAGGAGCUACACAGUUCCCGAUCCAUGUGCGGACAAGUUGGUUGCACUUGUGUCAAUAUCAUUGCAUUCAAUCGUCGAUUGGAAAAGGCACAGUUUCGUCGAGGAAAUCGUCCUUGCCUUUUGACACGAGGCUCGCCGGAAAUCUUGAGCCCAAGUAAUGUAAUUGUCUGGUUCGGCGAGCUGUAAUUUGAUGAGUCACAGCUCUAGUCCGUCAGUCGGCGACGUGUAAAAUGGGUCACCGGGUUUUGGGCGGCCACUGGUAGCUGGGACGGCCGAGGGCAUGAAGCCAGGUUGAAAACCUAGGUAGAGAUUCAUCCCUAAACCUACCAGGUUCAAUUUGGGUUUGUGCCUUGGAGGUGACUAGCCCAACCCACCAUUUGGGUUGGUCCCGAGAACAAACGGGACACGCCCACCUCCAUUGGGUUGGGUUCCGAGGCCCGAAGUUGUUUCUUCUCUGGAUGGGCCAUGUUGAGCCCACUGUUAAUUUGGUCCAUCGGCCCAUUGGCCCUAGACCGGAAACCAGUUAACUAGUGGCCACUGGGCCAGGCCGGAAUAUUGAGCAGGGACGGGCAGGAUUUUGAGAAGAAGGUUCUUCGUUUGAGUUGGAUUAAUUUGAUCCAAAAUAUGAUUUUGAGGGGAGUUGGAAGCUUCCUCCAUUGCAGGAUAUGGUUUGCAACAACAAAUUAGAAAACUAACCGGGGCAAUCCAGAAGACUUUGCGGAAGUUAGGCCAAGAAAAGAGGCUCUUAUACCACGACAAAAAUUGAAGAAGAGUUUGGUAUGAAUUGCGCGUGCAAUUUCUCUAUCUAUCUUUUUACAUGUACAUGGGUAUAUUUAUAGUACAAGUAGAAAAUAGGAAAGACUAUAUUAGAUAACGUCUUCCUAUUUUACUAUCUAAA